UGCUUUCUCUGUACUGUCUAUUCUCAC
rnacentral:piRNA from 1 species